AAAAAAACAAAUAAACGGACACUUAUUUUUUGUCUCUAGUAGAAAACACCUCUCAAAGCAGAGGAGUGUGUGUUUGAAGGAGGGACCACGAAAUUUGAAGUUCCUGGUUUGCAAACAGAGAAGAAAGAGAAGCAGCAUUAAACAUUAAGCCGUCAGAACCUCGAGAUGAAACUCUGUCACAUUUUGCUCUACUCCAUCUUCCUCUACCUGCAGGAUGGAAACACUGGACUUGCCAACGCUGAAACUCCCGUCUAUGAAGGAGUGGAAGGAGGAAACAUCACAGCUGAAUGCCGGAUUUAUUUCUCUGGAAGCACGAUGUCACUCUGCAAGGAAAAAUGUGAAACAGGAAACGUUCUCAUUGAAACAACUGGUUACACAGCUCAGAGCGGCAGAUACAGCAUUAAAUUUGAAAAAAAAUAUUUUUCAUCAAGUAUUGUGUAUGUGAGCAUCACACAGCUACAGAAGUCUGACUCAGGACAGUACAUGUGUACUUUGGGUUCAAAAUCAGGCAAUUUUAACAUUGUUGUCACAGAAGCUUCAGAUACUUCAACAACAAAUCAGCCUUUAUCAACAUCAACAUUUCUCCUGUCGGCCUCCACAACAACAACAACACAGCAUUUGAACUUCAGUUCAAGAAGCUUCACAGCUUCAUCAACCUCCUCUGAAGUCUCCAGACAGCCUCAAACAGCUGCAGGUUCAAAUAAGCUGCUUCAUGUGAUUCUGAUUCUGGUCGCUAUGAUCACCAUCUUAUCAGCAGCUUUGCUGAUUUUCUACAAGCACAGGAAGAAUAAACCAAAAGGACCUCCUGUGAAAACUGAACAUGCUGACAUCACACAGGCCAACUGGCUUUAUGGAAACAUCACAGAGGAUGAAACUCAGAACAGUGUAAUUCCUGUGCGGGUGUCUUCAGUUCAUGACUACCCCGAAGGCUCGCAACCAGAUGGAGUUGAAAACCAAGAGCAUUACAGCCUCGUCACCGCUCCUCAGAACACGGUAAAUAAAAUCAUGGUUUGAUUUUAAACUCUGAGGUCAGAAACAAUGACCGGUGCAGCAUUUUGGGCAGUAAACUAAUUCACUAGUUGUCUGGAUGAAUCAAGCUGACAUAGCAACAGGCCACUUUCUGAAGCUUGUAUUGAAAAGGGUUCAUUACUCGAAGGUUUUCGACACAGUGCUCUUUGGUGACAUCUGGUGGCCAAAAAUAUGAAGCGCAGAGCAAUUUAAUAUGAACUGCUUCAUUGUGAUUACCCGCUCGACCUGAGCUAACAGCUUCUGUUUAAUAUUAUGUGACAAUUCUGUGUGAUAUCGGACUAUCGCUGUGGUGCUUUGAACAUGUACUUUUGAAGGAUGAAAAAG